ACCUAGAUAGCGCAGUUGGUUAGAGUGUGAUGCUGAUACUUUCAAGGUUGCAGGUUUGAUCCCCGUUUGGGACA